GAUGAACGCUAGCGACAGGCCUAACACAUGCAAGUCGAGGGGCAGCACAUGCGUAGCAAUACAAUGGUGGCGACCGGCGCACGGGUGAAUAACACGUAUGCAACCUACCGGUAAGAGGGGAAUAACCCGGAGAAAUUCGGACUAACACCGCAUAAUACACCGACGCUGCCUUGCUUUGAGGUUAAAUAUUUAUUGCUGAUAGAUGGGCAUGCGUUCCAUUAGGCAGUUGGUGAGGUAACGGCUCACCAAACCGACGAUGGAUAGGGGAACUGAGAGGUUGGUCCCCCACACUGGUACUGAGACACGGACCAGACUCCUACGGGAGGCAGCAGUGAGGAAUAUUGGUCAAUGGGCGGAAGCCUGAACCAGCCAAGUCGCGUGAAGGAAGAAGGAUCUAUGGUUCGUAAACUUCUUUUGUAGGGGAAUAAAGUGCAGGACGUGUCCUGUUUUGUAUGUACCCUGAGAAUAAGGAUCGGCUAACUCCGUGCCAGCCGCCGCAGUAACAC
rnacentral:rRNA from 1 species